CGUGUGCUGCGGGAGGGCCUCACUGUGUUGCUGGGAUGGCGACAGGGAGGCACCGAAGACGAGCCGGUGCUCGCCUGCCCUGGCUGCUGCUGAUGGCAGUCCGACCGGAACUGCUAGCAACCACGCCAUCAAGGUUGUACUGCCGGCCACCACUCCGAGAUGGUACUUCCUUAUGAGGUCAUAAUGACAAGGUUGGAUUUCCAGUACGUGAAGACCAGCCUUCAAAGAUGGUCUAAUGGAUGAAAAAGACCCAGCUAUAUGUUGUUGCACAAGUGGAAGCUCUCUCUUUCCCGUAAUGUCCUGUGCUCCAAGUGCAAGGGAAACGAUACAAGUAUGCAUUGCAAGAGACAAGCAUGCAAUAAUGCAGCCACUAAUUUCAAGUGGUGGCAAAAGGAGGGGAGAUAAAGAGGAAGAUGUCUCCUUUUAUGCCCUGAUUGCAGUGGCGUUGGGCGGUUCUGGCAGCCGGAGAUUCCUCUGCUAGCAUGGUCGCCACCCAGAGUAGGAUAGCAGGAGUAACUAAUGUUGCUGCACCUCUAAUUCGAGCAGGAUGGCGGGAAGGUUUUCCCUUUGUCAGGGUACACUCGGUGAGGCCAUCAAGGACGACAAGGUGACCAUGUUCGUGAAGGUGGACGACUGGAAGUUGUCCACUGGGACCCUGCCGACAAGUUCACCCAGUUCCUUUUCGACCUGGUCUUCGAGGAGUUCGAACUCUCGCACACCAAUAAGUCCUCUAGUGUCUUCUAAUCUGGGUACAAGGUCUUCCACACGAUCGACCAACAGAGAUGAGAUGGACUUGAAUCUGAAGAAGAAAUCUGAAGAUGAGGAAGAGAAGAUUGUUCCAGACACCAAGGUGAAUGGUAAUUGGGUCACAGCCUCACAACAAAUGAGCAUUGCAGAAACUUCUUCUGUUUUGUUCUAAUAGGUUUUACUUAUAUAUCGCUGGAUAAGAAGAUGGACGACACUUUGGCCUUGGAGUAAAGAUAAGGGAAGGACAUGCAGGGGAUACCAUGGGAGAAGUCAAACUACAGUAGGCAUCAGUACCUUCAGAUGAGUCUAAAAUGGUACAAGAUCUAUGUGAGCCUCGCUAGGCUGCGAGAAUGGAAAAGGACAACGACGAGCUUGUUCUAGAUGCUUGAAGCCUGGCGGCAGCCAAGGGAGUGCAGUACCUGUUCGUGGUGGGCAAGAGAUCCUUACCAUGAAAGUGGCUUGUGGAUAACGUGCUGAUUGACCAAGUCGUCUGGGAGGAGUAGCAGCUCGAGGGCGGCGACCCUUGUCGCGACAAUCGUGGCAGAGAGGUGCGAGUGGAGCACACUCUGCUGUUGCUAGACACAGGUGGCUAGCCUA